GUAGGGAAUAUUGCGUCCAAUGGGGGAAACCCUGAAGCAGCAACGCCGCGUGGAGGAUGAAGGUUUCGGAUUGUAAACUCCUUUUGUUAGAGAAGAUAAUGACGGUAUCUAACGAAUAAGCACCGGCUAACUCCGUGCC
rnacentral:rRNA from 1 species